GUAAGUAAAAUGUUCAUAAAUCAUUCUUAUCUUCAAACUAAAAAUGUAUUGUGCUAUGCAAAAUGUCUGUAUGAUUUCAGUUGCCAGAGGUGAGUACCAUUACAGUUGAAAAGUUAGUUUUGUUUAGUUAAAGUUUUGGUUCACAGUUCUGUUUGUUAUUUGGCAAAAUUUACAUGUAUGCAUUGAGUCUUGAUUUCAGCUCGAUUGUGGACUGAAGAAGAUUGCCAGCAGAGGGAUUGGAUACAAAAUACAAAGUAAGUACUGAGUAAUUGUUUUACUGUAUGUUACACUUAAAUGCAAAAUUGUGCACAUAAAUUGUAAGUUGUACAAACACAGUGAAAGUUUCUGAUCAUGCUUUCUAUUUCAUUUCAGCUCUACUGCUAGACGAGCAGUGACAGAAAGGCGCCUGAACAUGCAACACAAUACAAAAAUGCCAAUUUGCAAACCUUGAUGUGGACACCGAGUAGUCAAUACAUACGUGUGGGGUACAGCUGCGACAAAACCGUGGGUCCAUUGCACCGAUAACUUGAACAUUGGCCCGCGUAUGGACAUCAGUGCAACUUUGUGAAUCCAUGUAACUUUGUGAAUCCAUGUAACAUUGCGAAUAUGUGUCGAUCGAAAAAUGUGAACAUUAUGCAAUGAAACGAACUCGGUGUUGCAAGUGGCAAGUGUUGACAGUGUGUAUGUUUAUGUUUAUGUUUUUACAUGAAAAAUAAAGGAGAUUGUUCUCCUA